rnacentral:tRNA from 5 species
GGGCCUGUAGCUCAGUGGUAGAGCGGUCGGCUCAUAACCGAUUGGUCGCAGGAUCGUUCCCUGCCAGGCCCACCA